rnacentral:rRNA from 1 species
UGGGGAAUAUUGGACAAUGGGCGAAAGCCUGAUCCAGCCAUGCCGCGUGUGUGAAGAAGGUCUUAUGGUUGUAAAGCACUUUAAGCGAGGAGGAGGGUACUGGUAUUAAUACUACCAGGUACUGGACGUUACUCGCAGAAUAAGCACCGGCUAACUCUGUGCCAGCAGCCGCGGUAAUACAGAGGGUGCAAGCGUUAAUCGGAAUUACUGGGCGUAAAGCGCGCGUAGGUGGUUCGUUAAGUUGAAUGUGAAAGCCCCGGGCUCAACCUGGGAACUGCAUCCAAAACUGGCGGGCUAGAGUAGGGCAGAGGGUGGUGGAAUUUCCUGUGUAGCGGUGAAAUGCGUAGAUAUAGGAAGGAACACCAGUGGCGAAGGCGACCACCUGGGCUCAUACUGACACUGAGGUGCGAAAGCGUGGGGAGCAAACAGG